rnacentral:lncRNA from 12 species
AUGCAAGCGCCUUUCCUACCAGAUGCAAGCGCCUUUCCUAUCAGAUGCAAGUGCUCCUUUCCUACCAGAUACAAGUAUCACAAAAGAAUUGGAGUGAUUGAAGUUAUGAUAGACAUUGUUAAGGACCAUGAGAUUACCCCCAGAGAAGCUGACCACCCCACAGUUUCUUCCGUUGGUAUAGUGACCAAAUUCUCCAAACCAAAAAUCAGGACACAUGGCUUGCCGCGUACUCAAGAACAAAGGGACAAACCCCAUGAAGAGAAAGACCGGUGGAGGCUCUCAGCAACACCUGGCCUUCGUCCUGCAGAGAUCAUCCAUGAAGCCUCAAGAACUUCGUGUCGGCGGUUCCCAAGCUGUAGUUCAGGGCGGGAGAUCUUCCGCGGGCACUCACAGGUAAAAACGAGACCACUACCACGUAUCUGGGCCAAGAAACCGUCGGUGCCCCCAGCCGAGACGGAGGCGGAUGCAGUCCUGGACUGGAGACGACGCUCAGUAAGCCAGUACUCUUCCGGGACCUCUCUGCACCUGCUCCCCAAAGGGGGCCAUCCCAGUAGAAGCUUCGCUGUUCCUCACGUUUCCACCACGUGGUCACUGCUUCAUUUCCAUGAGGAAUCCCUUCUUUCCAGCUUCACUUAAUCUCAUCACCCUCCACCACUGCCCUCUUCCCGGGCCACCCUGCUCUACCCUCUUGACACCCACCAACCACCAAAUCUGUCCCUCACGUGGCAUUUCAAUUUCCUUGGCACCUCAAACUAAAGUAUUAGCUCAUUCCUUUAUUAUCCUUCGUAGUGAUGUAUUUAAACCCAAACUUAUUGCCCCCAAAUGACUUCAGAUCCCUCCAUUCCUAAAUGUUGUGAAGCUAAAAUGGUUUUACAUGGAAAACAUUUUAAACAAGUCACCGCAUUCAUUCUUUAGAGGUCUUUCAAGGCAUCCUAUCACGUCUCAGUGAAGGUCAUGUAAAGCCUCUCUCACUGGACUCUUAAUUCUAGGAAACAAACUGAGGGUGGCGGCGGGAGGGGAGGUAGGUAGGGGCGAUGGGGUUUUGGGGUGAGGGCCAUGAAGAAGGGCACGUGACGUAAGGAGCCCUGGGUGUUGCGUGCAACUGAGGAAUCCCUAAAUUCCACCCCCGGAAACUAAAAAUACGAUGUAUGUAUGUUAACUAAAUUGAAUUUAAAUUAAAAUUUAAAGAAAAUAAAAAGUAAAAAUAAAACCUCUCUCA